CCUACGGGUGGCUGCAGUGAGGAAUAUUGGUCAAUGGCCGGAAGGCUGAACCAGCCAAGUCGCGUGAGGGAGGACGGCCCUACGGGUUGUAAACCUCUUUUGCCGGGGAGCAACGGGCGUCACGUGUGGCGUCACUGAGAGUACCCGGAGAAAAAGCAUCGGCUAACUCCGUGCCAGCAGCCGCGGUAAUACGGAGGAUGCGAGCGUUAUCCGGAUUUAUUGGGUUUAAAGGGUGCGUAGGCGGAUCGUUAAGUCAGUGGUCAAAUUGAGGGGCUCAACCCCUUCCCGCCAUUGAAACUGGCGAUCUUGAGUGGAAGAGAAGUAUGCGGAAUGCGUGGUGUAGCGGUGAAAUGCAUAGAUAUCACGCAGAACCCCGAUUGCGAAGGCAGCAUGCCGGCUUCCGACUGACGCUGAAGCACGAAAGCGUGGGGAUCGAACAGGAUUAGAUACCCCUGUAGUC
rnacentral:rRNA from 1 species